UUAUCUAACUUGAAUAGUUCAAAUAAAUACAGCAUGUCUAUGAAAUAAAUAAAUAAAAUAAUUCUGCCCCAACAUGUCUAUGAAAUACAUUUUUUAUGAAUUCUUCCGCACAUGGCGCCAUUGAAUGACCAAUUCUCUUUGUCAUCAUCGAUUGCAAACAAUCAUCACUCAAACCCAAAGGUGGCUUUGAGCUUAAUGUCAACGGCAUGGAAACCAUGGCAAAUAUAUCAGAGUACAUGACAUUAUCUGCUUACAGGGCUCCCUAUGUCAACACGUGAACAGAGCACAAAGGAUCAUCAAUACAUGUGUUGUCAUUGGGAGCCCUGACUGAGGAUAAUGUAAGGUAGUCUGACCGUGUGUUGUCAUUGGGAGCCCUGACUGAGGAUAAUGUAAGGUAGUCUGACCAUGUGUUGUCAUUGGGAGCCCUGACUGAGGAUAAUGUAAGGUAGUCUGACCGUGUGUUGUCAUUGGGAGCCCUGACUGAGGAUAAUGUAAGGUAGUCUGACCAUGUGUUGUCAUUGGGAGCCCUGACUGAGGAUAAUGUAAGGUAGUCUGACCGUGUGUUGUCAUUGGGAGCCCUGACUGAGGAUAAUGUAAGGUAGUCUGACCAUGUGUUGACAUUGGGAGCCCUGACUGAGGAUAAUGUAAGGUAGUCUGACCGUGUGUUGUCAUUGGGAGCCCUGACUGAGGAUAAUGUAAGGUAGUCUGACCGUGUGUUGUCAUUGGGAGCCCUGAAUGAGGAUAAUGUAAGGUAGUCUGACCAUGUGUUGACAUUGGCAGCCCUGACUGAGGAUAAUGUAAGGUUGUCUGACCGUGUGUUGUCAUUGGGAGCCCUGACUGAGGAUAAUGUAAGGUUGUCUGACCGUGUGUUGUCAUUGGGAGCCCUGAAUGAGGAUAAUGUAAGGUAGUCUGACCAUGUGUUGUCAUUGGCAGCCCUGACUGAGGAUAAUGUAAGGUAGUCUGACCGUGUGUUGUCAUUGGCAGCCCUGACUGAGGAUAAUGUAAGGUAGUCUGACCGUGUGUUGUCAUUGGCAGCCCUGACUGAGGAUAAUGUAAGGUAGUCUGACCGUGUGUUGUCAUUGGCAGCCCUGACUGAGGAUAAUGUAAGGUAGUCUGACCGUGUGCUGUCAUUGGUCAGCCCUGACGGAGGAUAAUGUAAGGUAGUCUGACCGUGUGCUGUCAUUGGUCAGCCCUGACUGAGGAUAAUGUAAGGUAGUCUGACCGUGUGUUGUCAUUGGGAGCCCUGAAUGAGGAUAAUGUAAGGUAGUCUGACCAUGUGUUGACAUUGGGAGCCCUGAAAGAUGAUAAUGUAAAGUAGUCUGACCAUGUGUUGUCAUUGGCAGCCCUGAAAGAUGAUAAUGUAAAGUAGUCUGACCAUGUGUUGUCAUUGGGAGCCCUGAAAUAUGAUAAUGUAAAGUAGUCUGACCAUGUGUUGUUAUUGGGAGCCCUGAAAGAUGAUAAUGUAAAGUAGUCUGACCAUGUGUUGACAUUGGGAGCCCUGAAAGAUGAUAAUGUAAAGUAGUCUGACCAUGUGUUGUCAUUGGGAGCCCUGAAAGAUGAUAAUGUAAAGUAGUCUGACCAUGUGUUGUCAUUGGGAGCCCUGAAUGAGGAUAAUGUAAAGUAGUCUGACCGUGUGUUGUCAUUGGGAUGAGUCACAUGGCAUACUUCCAUUAGCUCCAACUCGCCAUUAAGCGUACACCUGCACUCUGUCUGUACUACACUCAGUAGACUGUGUCUGUCUGUCUCUCCCAAAUGGAACCCUAUUCCCUAUGUAGUGUACUAUUUUUCUCUCGAGCACUAUGGGCCCUGGUCAAAAGUAGUGCACUUCUUAGGGAAUAGGGUGCUAUUUAGGGUGCUGGGUGUGAGUCCGGUUGUGAGUGUACCAGGCUGCUCUACUCUGCUGAGGGCCUUGUGUGGAAUUCAAUGAGAAGUCCCAGCCAUUCAUUUCCAUUACCAUUGUUGGCCCCAGUCACCGAGUGGAGGAGACGGUGGCAGCAGAUAAUUGAAAUGAAUUGCCGCAGAACAGUAGUGAUGAGUGUGUGUGUGUGUGUGUGUGUGUGACAGAGAGAGAGGGUGUGGAGUCUCGAUCAGUCUGGAUGGUAUAUGGGAGAGAAUACAUUUGUUAAAACUAACUUUCGCUGAUGCUGACGUUUUACUGAGCGUGUGUGUAAAUGAAUGAGUAUAGGUGUGUGUAAAUGAAUGAGUAUAGGUGUGUGUAAAUGAAUGAGUAUAGGUGUGUGUAAAUGAAUGAGUAUAGGUGUGUGUGUAUAUCUAGGUAUGUGUUUCAUUACUCUGAAUUUCUCUCACUGACCCCCUGGACAUCCCUGCUCCCCCUUUUCUCCCUGCUCCUAGAGGGUCCUUUGUUGUCAGCUGUUGUCAGGGUCUCUCUGGCUGUGUGUGUGUAUCUGCACUGCGUGUAAGCGCACCUACCUCUCACCACUCACUCUUCCCUUUGCCCCAAUGAUUCUAUUUGCACCCCUCCCUCUCUAUCAAACUUUCCCUCUCU